CUCUCAUUCUCCGAUCAACUGCAAAGCUAAUGUUUCCCCGAUUCUCCCUUCAAUUUUAGAAAAUUUUUGGGCUCUCCGGGACUGCAAAAUCUAUGGCUCUUUUAUCUGCCCACGGAUUUGCUUGCAGUUGCCGAAAAGCCUUACAUUCAAUAGAUCGAUAUAAUUUCACAGUGUUCUGUAUAUAUCUCUAAGUUUUUUAGUAAUUUUAGUUUCAGAGAAUCAAUGACUGUUACUGCAGCCAUGGAUUAGAGAUUUAAAAUGCUCGAUUUGCCUAGAGUUCAGGUGGCAAGGAAGCUUUGAUUUUGAUGCCCAGAGUUAGAAAGCCUAAUUAUACCUUUGUAGAGAUACUGCUCUUCGUUUCCUGUUGCAAUACUUACCAGAAUAUGCAAAUCCAAGGUUAUUCUUCUGUGCUCAACAGAGGUUGUGCUGCAGCGAAGUUUAGCCCUUUUAUGUUAUGGGAUUUGCUUGCCUGAAGUGUAGUGAAUUUGGGCAAUCCCUGAUAAGUCACCAAAGACUGAUUCAAUGAACAUGCAAUCACUCUGCCAAACUGCCAGAGAAUAGUUACUCAUGAUUGCUGAGGUUAGUUUCCACCAUGAAAUGUGAAUGGAAUGCCAAAAAGUUAAUGACUUUUGUUCUUUUUUAUAUAUUAUGGACCAAUCGCAAGAUUAAAAUUACAGUCAGUUUUCUUUGUUUUGGUUGCUUGUUGAGUCAUUCCAAAUGGAAUGCCAAAAAGUUUGACUUACUUUUGUUCUUUUUAUAUAUAAUGGACUGAUCGCAAGAGAGAAAUUACAGUCAGUUUUGUGUUGGCUGCAUGUUGAGUCAUUCCUAAUGUCUAUUUUUUUGCUUUGUUUUAGAUGUUUGGUGUGUUGCGAUUAUUACUAGUGAAGUUGCACUUGCUGACAGCCUCAAAUCUUCUGUUUUCUCAUGAAUUUUAGUUUAAUUUGGUUGGUCUUGUGGAAACUGAU